CGCUGUCCGCAAGGGCAGAGGAAAGUCCGGACUCCGCAGGGCGGAGGGUCCGUCCGUAAAGGACGGAAGGCGUGGGGCGAUCCCGCGCGAUGGAAAGCGCCACAGAAAAGAGACGUGCCCGCCCCUGGCUUCGGCCGGGGCGAGUAAACGGUGAAAGGGCGGUGCAAGAGACCACCGGCUCCGGCGGAGACGUCGGGGCGCAAGGCAAGCCCCCCUCGGAGCAAGAUCAAAUAGGGGACCGACCGGCUGCCCGUCGGGGAUCCGCCGCAAGGCGGGCUGAGGUUCCGGGUUGAUUGCUCAGAUGAAUGAUCGGAGGUCCGCCUCGGCGGGCUGAACAGAAUCUGGCUUAUUCGCCG
rnacentral:RNase_P_RNA from 1 species